rnacentral:lncRNA from 1 species
CAUUUUAAAAAAUCCGAUGGGCAGACACAGAGGACUGAACCAUCCUGAAGGGAUCCUGUCGCUUUCUGAGUGAAUUACUUCUGAUAUCUCACUUGUAAUCUGAAGCAUGGAACCAAGUCUCAUUUCAGAUGACUGCAUAUGAAUAGAUCUGUUUCUGCUGGAGAGGUAGACCAGAUUUUCUGUUACAAAAUGUGUUAAAACCAAGGCUGUGCUUGCAGAAGAUCUUUGCUGGUGCUGUGUACUCAGAACAUCCAAUGGCUUCCGGAAGAGCCAUUUUAUGCCUCAGCACCUCCAAAAAUGAGAUUGUGGAAAACUGGCUUGAAAAUCUCAUUAUAUUAAGCAUGAAAUAAAAUACGAAAUAGGAAUGUUAGCAGAAGACCUGAAUAUGAAUUUCAGAGAAAUAAGACUGAAGAGAAAGAAGUAACUCUUUUGUGAAAAGAACAGGAUUCUGCUGAUGUGUUAGUGAAUGUGGAAAUGUAUUCUAAUGAAUACCAAGAUUUCAAAUAAAAACUGCUGCCAGAAGUGUUGAUAGACUUUC